rnacentral:lncRNA from 12 species
CUUUAGAAGAUGACAUGCAAUAUAGACAUGAGAGCGACUUGUAAAAAACAGAAGAGCUUGUUUUUUACACAUCACAGUGAAUUGCGCAGAGCUCAGCUGCUGCAGGUGCAGCACUUCAUACAGAGCAGGAACAUCAGGGCUGCAACACUGAAUCAAUGGGAGGGAAGCACUUCAUACAGAGCAGGAACAUCAGGGCUGCAACACUGAAU